GCCGGGGUGUUGGAAUUGGCAGACAAUGCAGACUUAAAAUCUGCUGUCCCGUGAGGGACGUGCGGGUUCGAGUCCCGCCCCCGGCA
rnacentral:tRNA from 1 species